UACGUAGGGUGCGAGCGUUAAUCGGAAUUACUGGGCGUAAAGCGUGCGCAGGCGGUUUUGUAAGCCAGAUGUGAAAUCCCCGGGCUCAACCUGGGAAUGGCAUUUGGGACUGCAAGGCUGGAGUUUGGCAGAGGAGACUGGAAUUCCUGGUGUAGCAGUGAAAUGCGUAGAUAUCAGGAGGAACACCGAUGGCGAAGGCAGGUCUCUGGGCUGAAACUGACGCUCAUGCACGAAAGCGUGGGGAGCAAACAGG
rnacentral:rRNA from 1 species